GACGUAGGGCGCGAGCGUUGUCCGGAUUUAUUGGGCGUAAAGAGCUCGUAGGCGGCUUGUCGCGUCGACUGUGAAAGCCCCCGGCUCAACUGGGGAGGGUCACGCGAUACUGAUCGACUCGAAGGCAGGAGAGGGUAGUGGAAUUCCCGGUGUAGUGGUGAAAUGCGUAGAUAUCGGGAGGAACACCAGUGGCGAAGGCGACUACCUGGCCUGUUUCUUGACGCUGAGGCGCGAAAGCUAGGGGAGCAAACGGG
rnacentral:rRNA from 1 species